AGCCAGCAGCCGCGGUAAAACGUAGGAGGCGAGCGUUAUCCGGAUUCACUGGGCGUAAAGCGCGCGUAGGCGGUUGGUUUAGUCGGACGUGAAAGCCCCUGGCUCAACUGGGGGAGGCCGUUCGAUACUGGCCGGCUUGAGGGUGAGAGAGGAGAGUGGAAUUCCCGGUGUAGCGGUGGAAUGCGUAGAGAUCGGGAGGAACACCAGUGGCGAAGGCGACUCUCUGGCUCACCCCUGACGCUGAUAGCGCGAAAGCGUGGGGAGCAAACGGGAUUAGAUACCCCGGUAGUCCACGCCCUAAACGAUGAGGGCUAGGUGUUGGUGGGAUUACCCAUCUGUGCCGAAGCUAACGCGUUAAGCCCUCCGCCUGGGGACUACGAACGCAAGUUUAAAACUCAAAGGAAUUGACGGGGGCCCGCACA
rnacentral:rRNA from 1 species